AGCCACCCAGCCCACCCCCAGCAGCUGCGUUCUGGGGCCAAAAACCAGCUGGCGACGAACAGCACCAGCACACGGUGACUACGAGCAAAGCGAACCAAAUUCGGCUGGGAGCUCGAGCACAGGAGAGGGGUUUUUCAGAGCACCCCAGAGACUGGGGCUGCUGCUUCUCCUUUUUUUCCCCCCCCACCAAGCCCUGCUGCUGGUGGGAACCUGCAGCACCAUUUGCAUACAGGCCGCGUGUGAACACAAAGGAGAGGAGAUGCUAAAGGCAGGCUUCCUGCAAGAUUUUUUCUUAAGUCAAAGCUUGCAAGAAAAAAGGAAAAGCGCACACAUGCCUGACCACAAGUACAGAUAUACUUAGCGCGACCUGCACCGCACCAGACAUCGCAGCAGCAACUGUUCUGCUGAGCUGCUGUUACUCUCAUCAGUCCCAAGAAGAUGGAUUUAUGUAGCUCCCUGCCAGGGUGGGUGGCAGGAGGACAAAGGACUGGGGGGCUCAAGCAUGCCCUGAAGCAGGAAAAGGAUUCAGGUUUGUCCCUAGCGCGUCACAGCCUGGCAGCUCACGCGA